rnacentral:piRNA from 1 species
GUUAGUUGCUAAGGUGGGUGCUGGA